rnacentral:lncRNA from 10 species
UAGAACCCUUAACCAACAUUAAGAAGUCUAGCUACACUCCUGGAGUCCAGCUAACAUGGAGAAACCAUACAGAGAGGCCACAUGGAGCGGUGGGGACAUGAGAAUGUGCAGGGAGGGAGAGGAGUCCAGCUGCCUCAUAAUCCUACCGGAGCCCAGGCAUCAGCCAUCUCUGCCAACCUGCAGCACGAGUGAGGACGCGAGUGUGCCACCUGGCAAGUGGAUCCUCUGGCCCCAGUCAAGGAGCUGCAGCUGAUGGUGCAUGGAGCAGAGAGAAACUGCCCUGCUGAGCCCUGCCAAAAUCAUAAAAUUGUGAGCAAUGAAACAAAGUGGCUGUUAUUUUAAUCCACUAAUAUUUGGGAUAGUGUGUUACAUCGCAAUAGAUAACUGAGACACAUUCAUCAAAUAAAUAUUUAUCUAACCUGCUGUUUAUAAUAAUAAUACAACACUAAUAUUGAGUAUGCUGUAAUAUAUAGCAAUAUAAUUAAUAUGGUAAUAUUUAUCUAUCUAUUAUUGACAGACUUUGUGAUGAGUAGGAAAUUGUAUCUAUCUUUAAGGCCUGCAGUCAAGAAGGGGAAACUAUAUUAAAAGCUAGUGUUUUGGAAUUUCGUCAACAAGUCUGUUUCCACGAUUUAAUAGACUUCAAAAUAUUCUGUGUUUUCCUCCUAUAACAAAUAUGUUCCUUGUGGACCUAAUCUGGCAUAUAAUAUAUGUACAAAAAUACAAGUUAAUUAAUGAAUUAAAGUCAGUGGAAUCUCUUAUGUCAGUGAAAGCAAUAGGGUUGCUGACAAAA